UCCUCUACUGCAAUCUAGGCUUUCAGAACAAAGGAGAAAGAAACUCCAAGCAAAGGAGGCUGAAUUGAGGAGGAGGGAGCAGGAUGUUUACAUGUACUUCCGUGGCAGUGGCAAAGCAGCAGAGAUGAAGCGUGAGGCUGCAAAACGGACAAUGAUGGCUGCGCUGCCAUGAUUCA